rnacentral:rRNA from 1 species
CACGUAGGUGGCAAGCGUUAUCCGGAUUUAUUGGGCGUAAAGCGCACGCAGGCGGUUGAUUAAGUUUGGCGUGAAAUCUCUCGGCUCAACCGGGAGGGGUCGUUGAAAACUGAUCAGCUUGAGGCAAUGAGAGGGAUGCAGAAUUCCUGGUGUAGUGGUGGAAUGCGUAGAUAUCAGGAGGAAUACCAGUGGCGAAAGCGGCAUCCUGGCAUUGUACUGACGCUCAUGUGCGAAAGCGUGGGGAGCAAACGGG